GGCUUGAAACACCGGUUCCCAUACGAUCACCGAAGUUAAGUAACAUCGCACCUAAUCAGCACCUAAAUGGGUGACCACUUGGGAAUACCA